CCUACGGGUGGCUGCAGUGAGGAAUAUUGGUCAAUGGCCGUAAGCCUGAACCAGCCAAGUCGCGUGAAGGAAGAAGGUCCUAUGGUUUGUAAACUUCUUUUAUAGGGGAAUAAAGGUAUUCACGUGUGGAUAUUUGCAUGUACCCUACGAAUAAGCAUCGGCUAACUCCGUGCCAGCAGCCGCGGUAAUACGGAGGAUGCGAGCGUUAUCCGGAUUUAUUGGGUUUAAAGGGUGCGUAGGUGGUUUUUUAAGUCAGCGGUGAAAGUUUGUGGCUCAACCAUAAAAUUGCCGUUGAAACUGGAAGCCUUGAGUGAGUGAGAGGUAGGCGGAAUGCGUGGUGUAGCGGUGAAAUGCAUAGAUAUCACGCAGAACUCCGAUUGCGAAGGCAGCUUACUGGCCCAUAACUGACGCUGAAGCACGAAAGCGUGGGGAUCAAACAGGAUUAGAUACCCGAGUAGUC
rnacentral:rRNA from 1 species